GACGGAGGAUGCAAGCGUUAUCCGGAAUGAUUGGGCGUAAAGCGUCUGCAGGUGGCAGUUCAAGUCUGCUGUCAAAGACCGGGGCUUAACUUCGGAAAGGCAGUGGAAACUGAACAGCUAGAGUAUGGUAGGGGCAGAGGGAAUUCCUGGUGUAGCGGUGAAAUGCGUAGAGAUCAGGAAGAACACCGGCGGCGAAGGCGGAUACCUGGGCCUUGACUGACGCUAAGACUCGAAAGCUAGGGGAGCAAACAGG
rnacentral:rRNA from 1 species